rfam:Lichtheimia corymbifera JMRC:FST:9682, FST 9682, WGS project CBTN01000000 data, contig: SCAF00061
UCCGCGAUGGUCCAAUGGCUAUGAUUUCUGUCUUUCACACAGACGAUCGGGGUUCGAUUCCCCGUCGCGGAA